rnacentral:rRNA from 1 species
CCAGAGAUUUCCGAAUGGGGGAACCCACUAUCUUUAGUCGGAUAGUAUCCUUACGUGAAUACAUAGCGUGAGGAAGGCAGACCCAGGGAACUGAAACAUCUAAGUACCUGGAGGAAGAGAAAGAAAAAUCGAUUUCCUGAGUAGCGGCGAGCGAAACGGAAAGAGCCCAAACCAAGAAGCUUGCUUCUUGGGGUUGUAGGACACUCUAUACGGAGUUACAAAAGAAAGUUAUAAAUGAAGCGGUCUGGAAAGGCCCGCCAAAGACGGUAACAGCCCGGUAGUUGAAAUGGCUUUCCCUCCAGAGUGGAUCCUGAGUACGGCGGAACACGUGAAAUUCCGUCGGAAUCCGGGAGGACCAUCUCCCAAGGCUAAAUACUCCCUAGUGACCGAUAGUGAACCAGUACCGUGAGGGAAAGGUGAAAAGCACCCCGGAAGGGGAGUGAAACAGUUCCUGAAACCGUGUGCCUACAAGUAGUUAGAGCCCGUUAAUGGGUGAUAGCGUGCCUUUUGUAGAAUGAACCGGCGAGUUACGAUUUGUUGCAAGGUUAAGCGGAAAAAGCGGAGCCGUAGCGAAAGCGAGUCUGAAUAGGGCGCAUAAGUAACAGGUCGUAGACCCGAAACCAGGUGAUCUACCCAUGUCCAGGAUGAAGGUAAGGUAAUACUUACUGGAGGUCCGAACCCACGCACGUUGAAAAGUGCGGGGAUGAGGUGUGGGUAGCGGAGAAAUUCCAAUCGAACUUGGAGAUAGCUGGUUCUCUCCGAAAUAGCUUUAGGGCUAGCCUCGAGGUAAAGAGUCAUGGAGGUAGAGCACUGUUUGGACUAGGGGCCCUUCUCGGGUUACCGAAUUCAGAUAAACUCCGAAUGCCAUGUACUUAUACUCGGGAGUCAGACUGCGAGUGAUAAGAUCCGUAGUCGAAAGGGAAACAGCCCAGACCACCAGUUAAGGUCCCCAAAUAUAUGUUAAGUGGAAAAGGAUGUGGGGUUGCUUAGACAACCAGGAUGUUGGCUUAGAAGCAGCCACCAUUGAAAGAGUGCGUAAUAGCUCACUGGUCGAGUGACCCCGCGCCGAAAAUGUACCGGGGCUAAACAUAUUACCGAAACUGUGGAUGAACCUCUUUAGAGGUUCGUGGUAGGAGAGCGUUCUAAGGGCGGUGAAGUCAGACCGGAAGGACUGGUGGAGCGCUUAGAAGUGAGAAUGCCGGUAUGAGUAGCGAAAGAAGGGUGAGAAUCCCUUCCACCGAAUAUCUAAGGUUUCCUGAGGAAGGCUCGUCCGCUC